rnacentral:rRNA from 1 species
AACGAACGCUGGCGGCAGGCUUAACACAUGCAAGUCGAGCGCGCCGCAAGGGGAGCGGCAGAUGGGUGAGUAACGCGUGGGAAUCUACCCAUCUCUACGGCAUAACGCAUGGAAACGUGUGCUAAUACCGUAUACGUCCUUCGGGAGAAAGAUUUAUCGGAGAUGGAUGAGCCCGCGUUGGAUUAGCUAGUUGGUGGGGUUAAGGCCUACCAAGGCGACGAUCCAUAGCUGGUCUGAGAGGAUGAUCAGCCACACUGGCACCGGGACACGGCCGUGACCCCUCCGGUAGGGGGCAGUUGGCAACAUGUGACAAUGCGCGCAGGCCUGAUCCCGCCUUGCCCGGUAAUUGAGGGCGACCCUAGGCUUGUAGAGCUCUUUAACCGGUGAAGAUAAUGACAGUAACCGGAGAAGAAGCGCCGGCUAACUGCGUGCCAGCCGCCGCCGUAAUAC